GCAAGUCGAACGCGAAAGUCCCCUUCGGGGGACAAGUAGAGUGGCGCACGGGUGAGUAACACGUAGGUAAUCUACCUUCGGAUGGGGAAUAACAACCGGAAACGGUUGCUAAUACCGCAUAAUGCAGCGGCACCUAAUGGUGACAGUUGUUAAAGCGGGGGAUCGCAAGACCUCGCGUCUGAAGAGGAGCCUGCGGCGGAUUAGCUAGUUGGUAAGGUAAUGGCUUACCAAGGCGACGAUCCGUAACCGGCCUGAGAGGGCGGUCGGUCACACUGACACUGACAUACGGGUCAGACUCCUACGGGAGGCAGCAGUCGGGAAUUUUGGGCAAUGGGCGCAAGCCUGACCCAGCAACGCCGCGUGAAGGAUGAAAUCCCUCGGGAUGUAAACUUCGCAAGAACGGGAAGAAUAAGUCUGUGUAAAUACCACAGAUGAUGACGGUACCGUUUGUAAGCUCCGGCUAACUCCGUGCCAGCAGCCGCGGUAAUACGGGGGGAGCAAGCGUUGUUCGGAUUUACUGGGCGUAAAGGGCGCGUAGGCGGCCAGCGCAAGUCAGUUGUGAAAUCUCCGAGCUUAACUCGGAAAGGUCAACUGAUACUGCGCGGCUAGAGUGCAGAAGGGGCAACUGGAAUUCUUGGUGUAGCGGUGAAAUGCGUAGAUAUCAAGAGGAACACCUGCGGCGAAGGCGGGUUGCUGGGCUGACACUGACGCUGAA
rnacentral:rRNA from 1 species